rnacentral:rRNA from 1 species
GACGAACGCUGGCGGCGUGCCUAAUACAUGCAAGUCGAGCGCAGGAAACUGACGGAACUCUUCGGAGGGAAGGCAGCGGAAUGAGCGGCGGACGGGUGAGUAACACGUAAGGAACCUGCCUCAAGGAUUGGGAUAACUCCGAGAAAUCGGAGCUAAUACCGGAUAGUUCAUCGGACCGCACGGUCCGUUGAUGAAAGGCGCUACGGCGUCACCUUGAGAUGGCCUUGCGGUGCAUUAGCUAGUUGGUGGGGUAACGGCCCACCAAGGCGACGAUGCAUAGCCGACCUGAGAGGGUGAUCGGCCACACUGGGACUGAGACACGGCCCAGACUCCUACGGGAGGCAGCAGUAGGGAAUCUUCCACAAUGGACGAAAGUCUGAUGGAGCAACGCCGCGUGAGUGAUGAAGGUUUUCGGAUCGUAAAACUCUGUUGUAAGGGAAGAACACGUACGAGAGGAAUGCUCGUACCUUGACGGUACCUUACGAGAAAGCCACGGCUAACUACGUGCCAGCAGCCGCAGUAA